rnacentral:rRNA from 1 species
CGGCCAGACUCCUACGGGAGGCAGCAGUGAGGAAUAUUGGUCAAUGGGCGAGAGCCUGAACCAGCCAAGUCGCGUGAGGGACGACGGCCCUACGGGUUGUAAACCUUUUUUGCCGGGGGACAAACGGCGGCACGCGUGCCGUCCUGAGGGUACCCGGAGAAAAAGCAUCGGCUAACUCCGUGCCAGCAGCCGCGGUAAUACGGAGGAUGCGAGCGUUAUCCGGAUUUAUUGGGUUUAAAGGGUGCGUAGGGGGGCUGUUAAGUCAGCGGUCAAAUGUCGGGGCUCAACCCUGGCCUGCCGUUGAAACUGGCAGACUUGAGUUGGCGAGAAGUACGCGGAAUGCGCGGUGUAGCGGUGAAAUGCAUAGAUAUCGCGCAGAACUCCGAUUGCGAAGGCAGCGUACCGGCGCCAGACUGACGCUGAGGCACGAAAGCGUGGGGAUCGAACAGGAUUAGAUACCCGAGUA